UAAUUUAAUAAAAAUAUUGGCCUUGUAAGCCAACAAUGAAGGAAAGUCACCUUCCUAGGACA
rnacentral:tRNA from 1 species